AAUCGGACAUAGUACGAGAAGGUUGUAUGUCUAAAGGGAAACAGCCCAGAACAAGAGUAAUAAGGUUCCUAAAUUAUUAUUAAGUGAAAUAAAGGAUAUAAAUAUAUAAUACAACCAGGAAAUAGGCUUAGAAGCGGUCAUUUUUUAAAGAUCUCGUAAUAGAGCACUGGUUAAUUUAUUCUUUAAUAUAUAGAUACCUAAAAUUUAACGGAUCUAAAUAAUAUACCGAAACCUUGUACAUAUUUAAAUUAAUUUAAAUAUGAGAUAGCGGAACAUUGGAUAAAAUAGUAGAGAUAUAAAUAAAUUAUAUUAUAAUUAAUUAAUCUAAGAAUCCAAGAGAGAAUGCUGACAUGAGUAACGAAAAAGGAUUAUAAAUAAUAUCCUCGCCUUAAGCUUAUGGUAUUUGA
rnacentral:rRNA from 1 species